ACCACUGGCAUCAACCUUAUGGCUUUCCCCUGUUUGAGAUGAAACUCAGAAACCUGUAGCAGAGAAAUGCUGCAUGGAGCCACAAAACUGGCAGUUCACAGAGUACAGUGAGAGCAAGUGAAUGAGAUAUUAAACAUGGCCAAGUUUGACCUCUUAAUAGUAAUGAUCUGACAGAACUUGCAAAACACAAAGUCAAACCUCAGAAGACUGGACAAAGAACUACAGAGACAGACCAGUCAAAUAUGCAACAGAAAUUUCAGUCACGUCUGUCAACGAGGUGUAGAAGAGGUGUAUAGAUUAAGAACAAAAAUUGCCUCGCUCAGCUUGCAGAUGAGAUACUAUCGUCAAGGUUAUCACUGUACCUCUGCUGGAGAUAACACGUGUGCCUGUAAUUUUGAUUCACAAGUCUGCUAUU